CCCUUCCUUGCUCUUCGCGUGUACCGGCGCUGUAAGAGGGCCACACAUCUCGUACAAGUGUGUUGCCGCCACCGUGUCUCGUGAGUCUCUUUUCGUUUUGGCGUAUUGCCUCUGCUCAACACUGUUCUCCGUGCAUUGCCGGUGGUGCGCGCCAGCAAGAGAAGUAUAGUUGAUUGUGUAGCCUGCGUAGCCGCACCGAGUCUGCGACAUUAGGCGAGAAGCUCGCGAGAGUUGCAGAGCUGCUUGGCAUACCACGUCGUCGUCGUCGUGCUGCCAUCUGCUUGGCCUGUGCACCUCACCUGUUGUUUCUUCAUUUGUGUUCUUCCUCCGUGCUGCCAUAUCCCUCGACUGAUUAUAAGCGUGGAAGUUUUACUGGUCUAAUCACAGUUUCUCUUUCUUCUGGCUCUUUCCGUGGCGUCACCAGGAAGGCGUGAUACCUAUUUCUCUACGUCGCACUGAGAUCACGCGCUUUUAAUGCGCUGGUGCACAUCUCUACAAGCCCGCUGUCCCACCCCCUUCUCCGUCUCGUAUGCUUCUCACCUCCCUUUGCCUUUGCGUAGAGGCUUCCCUCCCCUUCGUUCCUAUUCUAGCUCCGUCCGCGUUGGCGUUUCACCUUCUCUUCUCAUUUUUUUUCCCGGUCCCCAUUGCCUAGUCGAAUUCGCUCUUUCUUACCCAUUGGCUGCACCAUAGUGUUUGCACCCUUCCCACUAAAGGCGGGGUCUCCACCAGGACCGAGUCAGCACAUUUGAGAAAAGACUCAAUCUGCGCCUCAGUCGACCCGACGCAACUGGACACCCGGCUCUCAUUCUCUCCUCCUCCUUCCCCUCCAUCGCCUACACGCGCACGCACCGCGGUGCUGAGUUGAGCAUUCAUUUUUUUUGUCUGCUUUCGCGUGUGCCUCCCUCUUCAGUGUUUCUCUUCUCUGGUUUUGUGCUCUGAUUCCUGUAACUCAUCACGCGUCUCUUUCUGCACUGAUAUCUUCUCGCCUCCCUCCCUCCCUCCCUCCCUCCCCUCAUUCUUCUUCUUCCCUUUCAUCCCUUCUCCCCUGCUGUUAUCACAUCAUUGCCGCUCGUCCCCGUUUAGGGUUUGGUCGGACCCUUUCCUGUGACUCGCGCUCCCGCUCACAAAGGACUCAUUGUAUUUCUUUUUUUUUUCGACUGCGUCUCUACGGUUGCUGUGUCUGCGCGCGUUGUUGUUGUCGCACCGGACUUGUGGAAGAGCGCCCUGCUCUGUUACUAGGCGAAGGGAAGGAAAACGCUGUACAGGGAUCCAUCGACCUUGCAUUCCGUUUUCACCUGCCUCAGGUCUGCUGUCUUUUUCCUGUGCCACUCUUGUUUUUCCCUUCUUCGCUUGCGGCGGGGGCCGUUGUCGCUCUCUCUCUUUCCCACCUCUUUGUGCGCCUCGAAAAUGCCGACCGGAGACACCACUCGGGCACCCGGUGGGGAGGCGCGGCGACCUGGCAUUUUAGCAAGCUCUUGGAUUGACGUCAUGAAUAAGGAGGGCGACGUCGCCGUGGAAGUUCACGUCGCUGCGCCGUUACGUGCGCAGCGGAAGCCGGCGACGACGCCGUCAGCGCGCAGGGAUGCUUCCGCCUCUGUGGCGACAGACAUCGGUUAUGCCGCCACUGACUCCUUCGCGUUCCCCACCUCUACAACGGCAGUACUAUUCUCGUCGUUUCGCCUGCACUGGGCGCAUUUUGUGCAGGCGUUUCAGUUCUCACUGACAGAGCCCGGCAUGGCUCUUGUAGCGGCAGUGAUUCUCUUCGCAAUAUCGUUUCUUGGGUGCAUCACAGUCUUCUUCAUUGCACCUUCUCUCACGACGUCUCUCGCUACACGCAUAGAGAAAUCGCUCGACGAAGUUGUCAGUGAGACGGAAAUGAGCGCGCUGCCCACAUCGUGGAUGCCACAUGUGGUGGGUAUGGUGCAACACGGGUUGCAGGUGCUGCUCAUACCUUCGGUGCUGGUAGGAGCAGCGGGUAUGUGGGUUCUGGGCGAUCCGGAGCGACGGCGGCCAGGCAAGUGGCUCAUGGGCUACGGCCUGCUGGUGUUGGUCCACGGCUGCGUGCUUCUCUACUUUCUGCUCCGCGUUUUCUUGAGUGGGCAGCUGGGCGUGUGGCAGAACACGUCACUCCAGCUCUUUCACGACGUGUUGGAAAAGCUGGAUGGCGAGGCGACCCAGUGCCUCUGGGAGUACGCUUAUCCCUGCUCUGGUUUCAGCUCGUGCUGCGUGACCAACACAUCUUCACUGAACGUGAGUGAGGAGGAGCUGAUGUCGGAUGAGGAGGUGUGGGGCUCCCUCUGCUUUGUCACGACGCAGAGUGGCAGAGCCGUGAUGCGGCGCCGCGACCGCGACAACAACGACUUUUUGGAAGACAUCACGAAAAUGGUGCAAGAUCAGUGCGGAAAGAUCACCGCGUACAUUGACCUCACCGAGGACUACCCGCUCUACUCCACCGCCUGCGCACUUGCUAAUAGGUCGAUGAGAAUUACACCGGCACACUCCACGACUUGCGAGGACUACAUCAUUGGCCACUUCUCUUCGACAAUCGGGUUCGAUAUGUGUCUCCUUUUCGGCAUGACGGUCUGCAGCCUCGUGGCCGGCAUCGUCGCUCUCAUCACAAAUCAUCAGCGGCCCCGCUCAUCCGACUUUAUGCCUUUGAAUUCGCCUUCCUCGUCAACCAAAGAGAGCAUCAUGAUGCUAAAGGGCGAAUCCUCUGACGACUGUCGCGGGGCGAACCGCAAACGCAGCUGACGUGCCACACAAGGACUACCUGUUGUCGGAGUUCGAGGGACGCAAACUCUGGCUUAGGCCACGGUGAGCAAUAGAAAGGGGGUUUCUUUUCACUAAACGUGACGAGACUUGCAGGAAAGGCGAUUUCUCCGUCGCCCUCUCUUCUCACUGCCACUCUUCGGCGGCGGGGGGGCAAUUGCAGCACCGAAGACGUCACCUCUGCGUGUCUGGGACCUCAUUUAGCAUUCUCUUGGGAAAACCGCCAUCUCUUCUGCGGCAGAGCACUACUUGCGUUGGUCACCUACGCUUAUUGAUGCUUGGCUUCGGUACUGUCCUUUGACAAUGAAUGCGGUGCAUGAUGAUAUGGUGUCUGUGCAGCACUGCUCCCGUUAAAGCGAUUCCGCUGGUUUCGUGCCGCAUUCGCUUGACCUGAUGAUUUAGGACACCUCAGUGCGUGGUAUCUCGGUGCUCAGUACACCCCUACUCGCUCUGUCGGCGCGGGGGAGGGAGUGGGGGCGGGGAAGCCAAGCAGCCCUCCCUUCCUGUGCCUGCGAAAUGCCGAGCCCACCGCUGGUGAUGACAGGGUGAAGCGCCUGCCGCCUAGGCAGGUGGGUGCGACGUAUCACUGCGGAUGUCGGUGGUCAGGUCCUGGACGGGGAUGCGUCGGAGCGACCGGCGACAGAGAGCACGCUUGCGCCACCCAUGCGAUGGGCCGAGGUGCCAGCAUGGCUCGAGUGCAUCUCACGCGCCCCUCGCACUGCCUACUGGUUGGGGCAGCCUGGGCGUCACGCCGAGGUGUAGGGACGAGGGGGGGGGUUGUGGUGGUGCACCCGGGGUGGCGACCGGCAUGAUGGGGGAGCGGCUAUGAGGCGACCCGCGGAGCGGGGAGGGGUGGGCGCAGCUCGAGACGGAGGCCGUGCUGAGGUGGCUGGGUCGGGGCAUUGCUUGCAUGCGUGCGUGUCUCGGGCUGCUUCGCGCCAGGCGAUGGGGCCUGUGGCACGCCGGGGGCCGAGCGGAGCUUGGCUCAUGCUGUGUGGCAGCGAAUGGACAUGGACAUCGAAAGCGAGAUCUUUUGUACUGCGCUGGGUUGGUCUCGUUUUCCGUCUUUUCAUGUAUGAACCUGGUGUGAUAACAUGUGGGGAGGUGUUGAGUGGGCUGCAGUAAAGCCCCGUGGCCCCCUGUAUACCUCUUGCGUGAUUCUCGGUUCCCCUUUCCUUGUCCGUUCUGUGCGGAUGAUUCCUUACGGCAAGGCGAGUGUGGUGAGUUGAAUGGAUGCCUUGAAGUGGCGAACCGUGAGCAUAUACUUUCUGUGAGACG
rnacentral:misc_RNA from 1 species